rnacentral:rRNA from 1 species
CAGCCGCCGCGGGAAUACAGAGGGUGCAAGCGUUAAUCGGAUUUACUGGGCGUAAAGGGCGCGUAGGUGGUUAUGUAAGUGAGAUGUGAAAUCCCCGGGUUCAACCUGGGAACUGCAUCUUAUACUGCGUAGCUGGAGUGCAGUAGAGGGUAGUGGAAUUUCCGGUGUAGCGGUGAAAUGCGUAGGGAUCUGGAGGAAUACCGGUGGCGAAGGCGGCCCCCUGGACGAAGACUGACGCUCAGGUACGAAAGCGUGGGGAGCAAACAGGAUUAGAUACCCCCGUAGUCCCUGUCUCUUAUAC